rnacentral:rRNA from 1 species
GUACUGGCUGGUGAAUGGCUCGGCUCGAGAGCCGAUGACGGACGUGCCAAGCUGCGAAAAGCCUGAGGGAGCCGCACGGAGGCUAAGAACUCAGGAUCUCCGAAUGGGAAUCCCCAUUGCGAUUACGAGGUAUCUCGUAAUCGGGAACGCCCCGAAUUGAAACAUCUUAGUAGGGGCAGGAACAGAAAGCAACCGCGAUAUCGUUAGUAACCGCGAGUGAACACGACACAGUCCAAACCGAAUCCGCAAGGAAAUGUGGUGUUUCGGACCAACAAUCACGGACCGCACGAUACCGAGAAAUCUCCUGGAACGGAGUACGACACAGGGUGACAGUCCCGUAUCGUCAUCACGCGAUCCCGCGUUGACUCCAGAGUCGCAAGGGUUGGCUAUCCCUUGUUAAUUCCGCAGACAUCAACUGCGAAGACUACACACUCCUCGAGACCGAUAGCGAACAAGUAGCGUGAGCGAACGCUGCAAAGCACCCCGAACAGGGCGGUGCAAUAGGGCCUGAACUCAGUCAGUGAUAGAACGACGAGGCAUACAAGGUCCCACUCACAACGACCUGAGAGCAAUCUCACUGUAGAACGAGUGGGAAGCCGAUGUCGCGUCGUACGUUUUGAAAAACGACCCAGGGAGUGCAUCCACCCGGCAAGUCUAACUGGUCUACCCAGGAAGACGCAGGGAAACCGAUAUGACCGCAGUCAUGACAUCCCAUACUCAUGACCAGGGUCACCGUACUUACAUGCGGGGAGUCGCGUGGAUGCGACCCGAAACCGAGUGAUCUACGCGCGGGCAAGGUGAAGCGUGCCGAAAGGUGCGUGGAAGCCUGUUAGGGAUGGUGUCCUACAAUACCCUCCCGUGACCCACGUGUAGGGGUGAAAGGCCCAUCGAACUCGGCAACAGCUGGUUCCAGCCGACACAUAUCGAAGUAUGUCCUCAGCCGAGGUAGUCUGCGAGGUAGAGCUACCGAUUGGAUGUCCCGCCUCCGAGAGGAGUCGGCCAUGCUGUCAAACUCCAAACUUGCAGACGCCGUAGACGCUGGGAAUCCGGACUGCGGGGUAAGCCUGUGGUCCAUGAGGGAGACAACCCAGAGCAGGGUUAAGGUCCCCAAGUGUGGAUUAAGUGCAACUGAAGGUUGUCUCGAGCCCUAAACAGCCGGGAGGUGAGCUUAGAAGCAGCUACCCUCUAAGAAAAGCGUAAUAGCUUACCGGCCGAGGUUCGAGGCGCCCAAAAUGAUCGGGGCUCAAAUCCACCACCGAGACCCUGCAAUACUUAUUAUCAAGUAACUUCGUAGGCUUGGCGUACUGACCGGAUGGAAGUACGGGCGAGAGCUCGUAUGGACCGCUCAGUAACGAUAAUCCUGGUCACAGUAGCAGCAAUAGUCGGGUGUGACCCCCGACGGCCUAACGAGCAAGGGUUCCUCGGCACUGCUAAUCAGCCGAGGGUUAGCCGGUCCUAAGUCUGACCGUAAUUCGACUCAGACAAACAGGGAAACUGGUUAAUAUUCCAGUGCCGUCGUGUCUUAUCGAACGCUUUCGGAAACAGUGAACGGGGCCAUCGCCCCGUCGAAUCAUGGAAUCUCGUGGAUGCCGUAACGGCACGAAGCGGGAGAAUCAUGAGACCGCGCAAGUCACUGGUACCAAGAGCCCGUGAAACAAACACACGACGUCCGUACCAAGAUCCGACACAGGUGCUCAGGCAGCGAAAGCCAUGGCCCGUCGGGACCAACCGGCGUUAGGGAAUUCGGCAAGUUAGUCCCGUACCUUCGGAAGAAGGGAUGCCUGCUCUUGACCGAGCAGGUCGCAGUGACUCGGACGCUCCGACUGUCUAGUAACAACAUAGGUGACCGCAAAUCCGCAAGGACUCGUACGGUCACUGAAUCCUGCCCAGUGCAGGUAUCUGAACACCUCGUACAAGAGGACGAAGGACCUGUUAACGGCGGGGGUAACUAUGACCCUCUUAAGGUAGCGUAGUACCUUGCCGCUUCAGUAGCGGCUUGCAUGAAUGGAUCAACGAGAGCG